CUUCCUUCUGAAAAUGUGGAAGGAAGUUCAUGAUGCAGCUCCAUGCUGGAGCAGGUGCGAAGAAGGGCAACAAGGCUAGUGAAGGGCUAGGAGAAUAUGCCCUACGAGGAGAGACUGAAGGAACUGGGGCUGUUUAGUCUGGGGAAAAAGAGGCUGAGGGGAGGCAUUAUUGCUCUUUUCCAAUAUCUGAAGGGUGCUUACAGCGAGAGCGGGGCUGGUCUCUUCUCACUGGUGACAGGACAAGGGGAAAUGGCCUCAAGUUGCACCUGGGGAGGUUUAGGUUGGAUAUCAGGAAACACUUUACAGAAAGGGUUGUUAAGCACUGGAAUAGGCUCCCCAGGGAGGUGGUUGAGUCACCAUCCCUGGAUGUGUUUCAAGAACUGUGGAGAUGUGGCACUGAGGGACGUGGUCAGUGGCCGUGGUGGGGAUGGGUUGGGGUUGGACUUCGUGAUCUUAGUGGUCUUUUCCAGCCUUAAUGAUGCUAUGAUUCUAUUGGUCAUGAGUACCUUUGUUUCCUUCGUGUAAUUUCUGAGGUAGUGUAUGUGCAUGUGCUUGAUUCUCCUGUAACACCGAGCUACAGGACUUGUAAAAUUAGGUACCGCCCUGAGCAAAAGGAGUUUACUGUUUCUCCAGGAACUGCUGUAUGAGGAAAAGCUUAUUAGUUUUUAGCCUAUUAGAAGCAGAUCUAUAGAGGUUUAGAUCUUCCUUCUCUCAGCAGUUGUUUGUACCAAGUCAAUUGUUUGUCUACACGUUUUCUUACAGAUUACACUGAAACAUCAAGAAACAGACUGAAUUUGGGGAGGGCAUGGAGAGGAGUUUAAGCAUUAAUAAAGUCAAGUGGGAAUGGUUAUACCAAGGUUAACUGAUCACUUUUUGUGGAAGUGAUCACUGAUGAGGUCAUGGCUUAGGAGCCCAUUUUAAAGUACCAGCGUUAAGAGUGAUCAGACGUGGGAUAUUUGAGUCUCAUUCUGGUGUCUUUUUACUGAAUUAUGCAUCUGUUCUGUGCUGUUUUUUUGCAUUUCAG
ensembl:lncRNA